rnacentral:rRNA from 1 species
AUCCAUAGUCUUAAUAUCCUAAGGGCACCUGACAUCAUUUUAUCCUGGAUGCUAAGCAGGAUCAUCCCUGUUUAGUAUUAGGAGAGGAGACCACCAAAAAUACCAGGUACUGUAGGGA